GGUCCCAUAGGGGGGUCCCAUAGGGGACAUUCCUGGAGUUCCUAUAGGGGGCUCCAUGGGGUGUUGGACGGGGUCACAUAGGGGUUCCAUUGGGGGGGUCCCAUUGGGGAUCCCAUAGGGGGGGUCCCACAGAAGACACUCCUGGUGUUCCUAUAAGGGGUUCCAUGGGGUACUGGGGGGUCCCAUUGGGGGUCCCAUGGGGGGUCCCAUAGGGGACAUUCCUGGUNNNNNNNNNNNNNNNNNNNNNNNNNGGGGACCAAUAGAGAACACCUGUGGUCUUCCUAUAGGGGGCUCUAUGGGGUGCUGGGGGUCACAUGUGGGGUUCCAUGGGGGGGUCCCAUUGGGGGUCCCACAGGGGGGGUCUCAUAGAGGACACUCCUUGUGUUCCUAUAGGGGCUCCAUGGGUUGUUGAGGGUUCCAUAGGGGGAGUCCCAUUGGAGGGGGUCCCACAGAACUGGGGCUCUUUUGGGGGGUGGGUUUUGGGCCCCCACCUCACGCAGCACCCUCUGCCCUCGGUGGGUGCAUAGGGGGUCCCAUAAGGGGUCCCAUAGGGGGUCCCUUGGGGGGAAUCCCAUUGGGGGGUCCCAUAGGGGGGUCUCAUAGAGGACACUCAUACAGCACCCUCCUCAGUGGGUGCAUAGGGGGUCCCUUAAGGGGCCCCAUAAGGGGUCGCUUGGGGGGAGUCCCAUUGGGGGUCCCAUAGAGAACACUCCUGGUGUUCCUAUAGGGGCUCCAUGGGGUGCUGGGGGUCCCAUGGGGGGGGUCCCAUUGAGGGUCCCAUAGGAGGGUCCCAUAGAGGACGCUCCUUGUGUUCCUAUAGGGGCUCCAUGGGGUGCUGGGGGGUCCAUUGGGGGGUCCCACAGAACUGGAGCUGUUUUGGGGGGUGGGUUUCGAGUCCCCACCUCACGCAGCACCCUCCGGAUGCCCUCGGUGGGUGCACAGGGCUCCCAUAAGGGGUCCCAUAGGGGGUCCUUUGGGGGGAGUCCCAUUGGGGGUCCCAUAGGAGGAUCUCAUAGAUGACACUCCUGGUGUUUCUAUAGGGGCUCCAUGGGGUGAUGGGGGUCACAUAGGGAGAGUCCCGUUGGGGGGGGUCCCAUUGGGGGUCCCAUAGAGAACACUCUUGGUUUUCCUAUGGAGGACUCCAUGGGGUGCUGGGGGUCCCAUUGGGGGUCCCAUAGGAGAGUCCCAUAGAGGACGCUCCUUGUGUUCCUAUAGGGGCUC
rnacentral:lncRNA from 1 species